AAAAACAUCGCCUCCUGAAGUAAUAGGAGGUCCAGCCUGCCCAGUGACCAAGUUAAACGGCCGCGGUACCCUAACCGUGCGAAGGUAGCGCAAUCACUUGUUCUUUAAAUGAGGACUAGUAUGAACGGCAUCACGAGGGCUAUACUGUCUCCCCCCUCUAAUCAGUGAAACUGAUCUCUCCGUGAAGAAGCGGAAAUUAACCUAUAAGACGAGAAGACCCCAUGGAGCUUAAAACUCAAUUCCAACUGCCAUAAACCACAUCACGCCAACAGGCAGACAUGACAAUUAGUUUUCGGUUGGGGUGACCACGGAGUAAAAACAAACCUCCACGAUGAACGACCCUUCCCUUCUAAUCCAAGAGUGACAACUCUAAGAAUCAAUAAAUUGACUUUUGACCCAAAUUCUUGAUCAACGAACCAAGUUACCCUGGGGAUAACAGCGCAAUCCAUUUCAAGAGCCCCUAUCGACAAAUGGGUUUACGACCUCGAUGUUGGAUCAGGGUACCCAAGUGGUGCAGCCGCUACUAAAGGUUCGUUUGUUCAACGAUUAAAACCCUACGUGAUCUGAG
rnacentral:rRNA from 1 species